rnacentral:rRNA from 1 species
GGUCACUGCUAUUGGGGUUCGGCUAAGCCAUGCGAGCGGAGGGCGCGGUCGAAAGAUCGUGGCCCCGCACACGGCUCAGUAACACGUAGUCAACCUACCCUUGGGACGGGGACAACCUCGGGAAACUGAGGCUAAUCCCCGAUAGGCGGGGGACGCUGGGAUGCCUCCUCGCCCAAAGCUCCGGCGCCCGAGGAUGGGACUGCGGCCUAUCAGGCUGUUGGUGGUGUAACGGACCACCAAACCUACGACGGGUACGGGCGAUGGGAGUCGGAGCCUGGAGAUGGGGACUGAGACAAGGCCCCAGGCCCUACGGGGCGCAGCAGGCGCGAAAACUCCGCAAUGCGCGCAAGCGUGACGGGGGGAUCCCAAGUGCCGUUGGUCUUUCGAUCGACGGCUUUUAGGAAGUCUAGGAAGCUUCCAGAAUAAGGGCUGGGCAAGACUGGUGCCAGCCGCCGCGGUAACACCAGCAGCCCAAGUGGUGGCCACGAUUAUUGGGCCUAAAGCGCUCGUAGCCGGAUCAAUAAGUCCCUUGUGAAAUCGGGCCGCCCAACGGUUCGGCGUGCAAGGGAUACUGUUGGUCUUGAGGCCGGGAGAGGUCGGAGGUACUCCUGGGGUAGCGGUGAAAUGCUCUAAUCCUAGGGGGACCACCAGUGGCGAAGGCGUCCGACCAGAACGGACCUGACGGUGAGGGGCGAAGGCUAGGGGAGCGAACGGGAUUAGAUACCCCGGUAGUCCUAGCUGUAAAGCAUGCGGGCCAGGUGUCUAGCGCUCCUUGAGGGCGCUAUGUGCCGGAGGGAAGCCGUUAAGCCCGCCGCCUGGGAAGUACGGUCGCAAGGCUGAAACUUAAAGAAAUUGGCGGGGGAGCACCACAAGAGGUGGGACCUGCGGUUC